CAGUCGCCACGGGAAUACAGAGGGUGCAAGCGUUAAUCGGAAUUACUGGGCGUAAAGCGCGCGUAGGUGGUUCGCCAAGUUGGAUGUGAAAUCCCCGGGCUCAACCUGGGAACUGCAUCCAAAACUGGCGAGCUAGAGUAUGGUAGAGGGUGGUGGAAUUUCCUGUGUAGCGGUGAAGUGCGUAGAUAUAGGAAGGAACAUCAGUGGCGAAGGCGACCACCUGGACUGAUACUGACACUGAGGUGCGAAAGCGUGGGGAGCAAACAGGAUUAGAUACCCGUGUAGUCCCUGUCUCUUAUAC
rnacentral:rRNA from 1 species